rnacentral:rRNA from 1 species
CCUACGGGGUGCAGCAGUGAGGAAUAUUGGUCAAUGGACGAGAGUCUGAACCAGCCAAGUAGCGUGAAGGAUGACUGCCCUAUGGGUUGUAAACUUCUUUUAUAAAGGAAUAAAACGAGGCACGUGUGCCUUUUUGCAUGUACUUUAUGUAUAAGGAUCGGCUAACUCCGUGCCAGCAGCCGCGGUAAUACGGAGGAUCCGAGCGUUAUCCGGAUUUAUUGGGUUUAAAGGGAGCGUAGAUGGGUUGUUAAGUCAGUUGUGAAAGUUUGCGGCUCAACCGUAAAAUUGCAAUUGAUACUGGCAGUCGUGAGUACAGUUGAGGUAGGCGGAAUUCGUGGUGUAGCGGUGAAAUGCUUAGAUAUCACGAAGAACCCCGAUUGCGAAGGCAGCUUACUAAACUGUGACUGACAUUGAUGCUCGAAAGUGUGGGUAUCAAACAGGAUUAGAUACCCGUGUAGUC